UCAGAAUGACAAGUCUCUUUAAAGAGCGAGUGUCUGGCUUUGAUGUAAGAGACGGAUGAUGGAGACACCUACUCCAGCUCUGUGGUGGUGCAGCCUGUCUUCGAGCUCCACACACACCCCAGUCCCCGUGCCUGAGCGCACACCUUGCAGGAGGUGAACAUUUCACAACCCACAGCCUGAACGUGGGCCAGCGACUGAGGACUUCCAACUACAGCGCCAUCCUGUGGACACAGAGCAAGACGGAUGGAGGAGAAGGCUGAGUACCUGAUACAGCAGAAUGUUGUUUACUGGCUCCUGGGAUGAGAACAGAGGAAUUUCCUGAAGGAGAGUGGCGUUUUGACCCACUACUGCCACCCGGUGGAGCUCACCACGAUCUGGAAUCGCAAUCAGAAGGCUGAAGAAAGGUCUUACCAGUCCCGAGAUGAAGCACCGCCCCCCUCCGCUCCUCACUGCCACUUCCCUGUGUCACAGCCAACUUUGUAUAUGUGAUUCCCUUUCGCACCAGAAGGGGCGCUGCUGUCACACUGGUUUCCAUCAGAGGGUGGUCCCUCACGAAGGUCAGCACUUUAUCAGGGAGCUUCAGGGAGGACUCAAAGCCCUCUGCCCUC